UACGUAGGGUGCGAGCGUUAAUCGGAAUUACUGGGCGUAAAGCGUGCGCAGGCGGUUAUUUAAGUCAGGUGUGAAAGCCCUGGGCUUAACCUAGGAAUUGCGCUUGAGACUGGAUAGCUUGGAGUGCGGCAGAGGGAGGUGGAAUUCCACGUGUAGCAGUGAAAUGCGUAGAGAUGUGGAGGAACACCCGAUGGCGAAGGCAGCCCCCUGGGCCAACACUGACGCUCAUGCACGAAAGCGUGGGGAGCAAACAGG
rnacentral:rRNA from 1 species